CCCAAACAGCCGACAGAUUCUCGGCAGUCAUCAAGUUCCUGGCGUUCUGCUGACUAAGACCAUGAAGGUGCGCCAGGAUCCGACGAAGCGUCGCUGAUGUCACAGGAUUGAGCGUGGACAGUAACUUCCGAUAUUUUCACAACGAUAAAUCUGUUCUGGACAAAUCUCGUUUGUUACCUGCGGUGAGGCAGAGUCGAUCGUGUAUUUUGGCGGGGAACAAUGGAUCCGAAGAACCCAAGCCGGGAACCACGUACCUGUUACGCCUUCCUGAAAAAAUAUAACAAAAACAUUGUAAUUGUCGCGAGGUAAAAGAAGAGAAGAGAGAGACAGAAUACGUUUGACAUUUUUUAUUUUUGUCAAUGACAAAAAAAAUGUUGGACGAUUACCAUCCAAUGAAUACGAAAUAUCCACAACGUUCGUGAAAUUGUAGAAGAAGAAUUUGCGUGUCAGCAUAUGGGUUUUCACUGAUUUCGCAAACGCGAACAGUUAGCAAGAAAUGAAGGAAAAGAAGAGAGGAACGCAAAAAGUGCAGUGUACAUGUGACGCGCUUGUUCCAACGAAAACCGUGAAUCAUAUUCAACCGACGCAUCAACAGAUCAUCAACAGCUUCUUGAAUUACUUGUCAGAACUGCGGUGUAAACGAUAAGAAUGGCACGUUAUCAUUCAAUAGGUUGAAACUUCCGCGAGAUAAGAAGGAUUUUCAGCGGAGAGCGGUGCUGAAGCAACGGACUGUUGAUCGAGGAUGCCCCGUGCUCUCCGGAAUGCGUCGACGGGUCUGCGUCUCCGUCCGAGCGCUACGAUUUUUUUUACGCACACGAAACAUCGUGCCCACGGACUUACGUCGCGGCGACGUUUAAGAAGAUAAAAACGACGUGCGGCGAUAAGAUAUAAAGAGCGGCCGAGAGCGACGCGUCAUCGUUCGACUCGAUGGCGCAAGUCGUGCCUCUGUACUGAUGCGCCUCCGCUGAGCGGAGUCCGCUGUCCGCUCUCCGCUCUCGUCGCCCACACACGAGUAUCCAUCGCCAUCGCUCCGCUGCUUCUCUUAGUGCGAGGAUAGCGGAAGAGUGGGGGAGGGGGAGGUAACGGGGAGGCCAACGCCACCGACGGCGGCAUCAACUGCAGCGGCUGACGCUGCAACUGCACGUGGAAUGUGUUAUCCAUUGAAAAACUAAUCUCUGUAUAAUACAUAGAACGUAAAAGUCCAUUAAUUAGAAAGUAGAAUUACUCGAUUGGUGGGAUUGAUUAAUAAUUAAUUAUAUAUAUAAACAAUCUUUCAUUCAAACUAAUUGUAAGAUAUGUAUAGUCUCGUUACAAAUGGCGCAAAGUAAUCUAGCUUCUUUCUGAUGAAACUAUAUAGGUUUCUUUUUUAAUCUUUUUUAGGAUUUAUACAAUUAAAAUUUAACUCUGGCUGUGUAUAAUGCCAAUCUAUAUCUCGAGAUCAAUUAUUCCAUCGAAAUAAAUGCAGUUUACGUAUAAUAGUUUAAGUAUAAUAACUAUAAAUAAAAAAUGACUUGAAUUCCAAGAAUGAAAAAGCAAACAAACAUAAUAUUUUUAUUGAAGUUCUUUAAAAUUGAAAUAUUAAUUUAAUAAAAUGGUAGAAAAUGUGGCGGGAAAAUAAUAUCGCUCUAUAAAAGAUAUUUUAAUGAAACCUUUAUUAAGAUUUUUAUCGUGCCAAAGACAAAUAACGACUUUGGCUAUACAAACAGGUAAACGUUUUCCCGCCGAGAGUCUUCCAUGCAGGUGCAAGCUAUAUAUAAUAUAUCACUAUAGGAUCUUAAAGAUUAAUAUUAAAAAGAUACAAUAAAAUCGCACAAACAAAUGUUUCGUGUUACAAAUAUAGGAGAAUAUAAAGAGGAAAUGCGAAUUGUAUAUGUGUAACAAUUAAAAUAAUAUUUCUACUCAUAACGAAAAUACGGGAUGUAUCUAUUUUCUAAAUGGCAGCUUAUUUUGCGCCGCGAUUGUAUAGAUAUCACUGACAUUUUUUUUAUUACAAUGUCUCAUUUUAGUCGAUUUCGUUAAAUUAACUACAUCAGAAAAAGUCGAUAAAAAAAUUUUUUGAAUUUAAUUUUUCUCUCUCGAUAAAUUAUCAUUUUUGGACGAAAUGCCAUCAGUUGCACCUGCACUGUCGAGCGACUUGCGCGGGUAUUUCUACUAUCUUAAAUCACAAUGGUGACGACAAGUUUAACUAUUUAUUCGUUAAUUAGUUCCUUAAGAUUGAUCGUUAUAUAGAAGCAGGUACGCACGCACGCAUGCACGCAUGUGUUAGUAGCCGUAUACGUAAAAACGUGUGAUGAAAUGCAUCCAAUGAUAGCCGAUGAUCUCUUGGUGAAGGUUCAAUAACGCGGAAUGAUUUUGCAACACAGAUUUAAAAACAUAUAUAGUAAUCAGUGGAGUAUAAUCAAUGAUUUUUGGGAGAGCAAUUGUAAGAGACGUUUUUCCUAUUUUUUUCGCGCAUCGAGAUUAUCUUUGUUGGCAUUAAAAUUAUUAAGAAGGGAAAAACAAGAAUAUAUAAUGAGAAGAAAAUUAAAUAUACGAAGGAAAAUAUAGUGACAAAGUGAAAAGAAAGGAAGACUAAAAAAGAGAUGUGAAUUGUUAUAUGUACAAAAGUUAUAUAAAUAUAAAUUGAAUAUACUUUUACAUCUAUAUAUAUAUAUAAUGUUAUCUGAAGAGAUUGGAGGAGAAUAUUUACUGCAAAAUUUAAACAAUAUUUUUGUGCAAAGGUCAAACGAUUCCGUUCGAGAUUAUCGACGUUCAUCGGUUGAGAAUCACACGAGGAAAUUAUAUUCCCGCGAGCGACUCGCUUUUAUUACGAUUCUCCC